CCUACGGGCGGCUGCAGUAGGGAAUAUUGGGCAAUGGAGGCAACUCUGACCCAGCCAUGCCGCGUGCAGGAAGACGGUCCUCUGGAUUGUAAACUGCUUUUGAAUGGGAAGAAUGUGCGGCUUGCGAGCUGUAAUGACGGUACCAUUAGAAUAAGCCACGGCUAACUACGUGCCAGCAGCCGCGGUAAUACGUAGGUGGCGAGCGUUAUCCGGAUUUAUUGGGUUUAAAGGGUGCGUAGGCGGCUUAAUAAGUCGGUGGUUAAAAGUAGCAGCUU
rnacentral:rRNA from 1 species